AGGGUUGUAGCUCAGUGGUAGAGCACUUGUGUAGCUAGCAAGUGUGAAGCCCUGGGUCUGAUCCCCAGCACUGCAU
rnacentral:tRNA from 1 species